UAGAAGCCAUUUGUUUGUUAAAAUUUUAUGAAAUAUAUUUGUUCUAUUUGAUGUUUGUUGUGAAUGAUGUAUACUCACAAACGAAUGAGGAAAUUAGUCCAACGUGUUAGGAUCUGGGGAAGGCUGGUUGGGGGGUCUCUAGUUUCUCCACCAGGGGGCAUCCUGGGACCUUCUGGAGGGCGUGAACCUGGAGCUGCACACCUGCUGCCACUUACCAUUGUUUGGAGGGGUUUAUCAGGAUGGAGCCGCUGACACUCCAGUGCCAGAGUGUUAGCCUGUGAUGCCCUGAGUUUCUUCAAACUUCUACGAACCUGGUCAGAUUACCUAAGAUCCUCGAGACCCUGCGGAGUCUACCCGUUGGUGGCCAUGUCCCUGAGACCAGCCCUCAGUUCCGUCGGCGGCAGAUCCCUGGUCAAGUGGAUCCUUUCUGGCACCUGUCUGAGAUCUCCCUCCACUCACCUGUCCGCCCUCUAGAGAAACUCACGCCCUCGUUCCAGCCUGCAGCUCCGGAUCCUAGCGGUUCACCUCUCCGUGCUCAGAUGGGCUCACCGGCAAAGAUCCAGAACCAGGCAGACGAGCACCAGUUCCGGACCACCUUGUACAUACCUGUUAGCACUGUAUUUAAUAAAUCACCAUAACCUUUACCCGUCUCCAGAGUGUGUUCUGCGCAUGUGGGUUCGACAAAUUAAUCUCAGCAUGACAGAACGUUUAGAAACUACAGCGGCUGUAACGCGCCACAGCAAAGGGAAACAAAGGUAAAAUAACCC